CCCUUAGAUGUCCUGGGCCGCACGCGUGCUACACUGACGCAUACAGCGAGCACUUUCCAGUUCCGAGAGGCUACUGGUAAUCAUCAAUAUGCGUCGUGAUGGGGAUAGAUCUUUGGAAUUCUGGAUCUUGAACGAGGAAUGCCUAGUAAUCGCAGGUCAUUAGCCUGCGAUGAUUAAGUCCCUGCCCUUUGUACACACCGCCCGUCGCUACUACCGAUUUCGAGUGGUCAGGUGAAUCUUUCGGACUGUGGGCGCCCUUGAGGUGUUCGCGGAAAGUCAGGUAAACCUUAUCACUUAGAGGAAGUAAAAGUCGUAACA
rnacentral:rRNA from 1 species